AAUAUGGUAACCCUAACCUGGUCCCUUCUGUAGAACAUACCUUAUCGCAGCGGAUUCCACGUGUGACCUGCAAUGUGUAAAAGAAUGAAACAGGGAGCGUGAGUACAGGAGCAGCCAUCCAAAGGAGUCCAAACUAGAUGAUUACCCCUUCUGGCCUUAACAUCAAUGAUGCUAUGAAUCUGUGGCUUGCCGAAAAUGAGCCGUGUUCAGGUGUGGGAGUUGAAAUCAGUGCUACGUGCCAUUCUGUGUGGGACUCUCAGUGUGACCUUGAGAAGGUCAGUCUGUUCCACACGCUGCAUUGCCAAGAAGGGAUGAUGAAAGAGCCAUCAACUUUGAAUGACACGUGAGGACUGGCCCGCCUCAGGGGACACAGGAUUCCUUCAUGUCGGACUCGCAUGCCGAAUUUUGCAGUCUGGGCACAUGGCAAACAGCACCAGAGAGAGGGGAUGCUCUCUGAAAAUGUGGGGGCUAUCCUCCACCACAUGUCAGAAGCCCAGCUGGAGGGAGGGAGGGAGGGAGAGAGAGAGAGAGAGUAAGAGGGACUCUGCCUGAAAAGCUGACCAGACCUUUGACUCACAGAAGGGGUCAGAUCGGACAGGGGAAGUGUGCCUUGGGACUGUUGGUUGUUUUGCAAAGAUCUGUAACUCUCUUGUGCUUUCCUGAAAGUAAAAGUGACAUGUGUUCCUUA